rnacentral:rRNA from 1 species
AGUGGCGGACGGGUGAGUAACGCGUGAGAAUCUGCCUUGGGGUCGGGGACAACCACUGGAAACGGUGGCUAAUACCAGAUAAGCCGAUUGGUGAAAGAUUUAUUGCCCGAAGAGGAGCUCGCGUCUGAUUAGCUAGUUGGUGAGGUAAGAGCUCACCAAGGCAGCGAUCAGUAGCUGGUCUGAGAGGACGAUCAGCCACACUGGGACUGAGACACGGCCCAGACUCCUACGGGAGGCAGCAGUGGGGAAUUUUCCGCAAUGGGCGAAAGCCUGACGGAGCAAGACCGCGUGAGGGAGGAAGGCUCUUGGGUUGUAAACCUCUUUUCUCAGGGAAGAAGCUCUGACGGUACCUGAGGAAUCAGCCUCGGCUAACUCCGUGCCAGCAGCCGCGGUAAUACGGAGGAGGCAAGCGUUAUCCGGAAUUAUUGGGCGUAAAGCGUCCGCAGGUGGCGAUUCAAGUCUGCUGUCAAAGCACGGGGCUUAACUCCGUAAAGGCAGUGGAAACUGAAUAGCUAGAGUGCCGUAGGGGUAGAGGGAAUUCCCGGUGUAGCGGUGAAAUGCGUAGAGAUCGGGAAGAACAUCGGUGGCGAAAGCGCUCUACUGGACGGCAACUGACACUCAGGGACGAAAGCUAGGGGAGCGAAUGGGAUUAGAUACCCC